rnacentral:rRNA from 1 species
UACGAAGGGGGCUAGCGUUGCUCGGAAUCACUGGGCGUAAAGGGUGCGUAGGCGGGUCUUUAAGUCAGGGGUGAAAUCCUGGAGCUCAACUCCAGAACUGCCUUUGAUACUGAAGAUCUUGAGUUCGGGAGAGGUGAGUGGAACUGCGAGUGUAGAGGUGAAAUUCGUAGAUAUUCGCAAGAACACCAGUGGCGAAGGCGGCUCACUGGCCCGAUACUGACGCUGAGGCACGUAAGCGUGGGGAGCAAACCGG